AAGUCCGUCCGCUCGCUGGCCCAACAACCAGCCACGCCGAGCGACACUGCAUUUCCAUUUAUCCCUGCGUCGACGUGGGUUACUCGGGGUGCCAGUGUGCCACUCAGUGCCACACACGAAGAAGCAAGUCUGCGGUUAGAAUCGCUGUGCCUUCCGAGUGCCUCCGAGAUUGGACAGGUUACGACCAUCUAGCAUCGGGGGGAAAAGUGCCUCUUAAAAGCAAAAAUUCCAGGCAAGGAAAAACGCCUUAGCAACACACCGCCGGCCAAACUAGAGAGAAACGAAGAAGAAAGGAGAACGGUGGAGAAGAGGAGUGACGAAGAAUAGGGAAGAGAGAAAGGACACAAGUCGGAACUGACGUCACACCUCCCGACAGGAGCUGCUGAGUCAACGAAGUCUUGACGCCAUCAAUCAACGAAAAAAAAUAUCCCUCUCGAAGCUCUUUCUUGCUUCAUCUUUGCGUCAGUCUCUUGCAUCAACGCCUUUCAUUGUGGAGCUACUUUACAUAUGUAAAUCACCGGUUCCUCAAGAUCCUUCAAGGAGUAGAAUUUAUCCGCGAAACUCUACAAGAAACCCGAGGAACGGAGCUGAGAAAUGACUGUAGCCCGGGCGUCCGGCGCUCGUUCAGGGACAGAAUGCAUCGCUGCAGGUGAGCUGUACGUCUUGCAGUUGCAAAGUUGCGGCAGUUAAGAAGCACCCAUGGGGAAGCAGGGAGCACUUGCGAGCCGGCGGAUGGAAAGAUGCAAGACUAGGAGGGGAAUUUAUCAAAGAUGAAUGAUGAAUAAAACCAGCGCCUGAAAUGGA